rnacentral:lncRNA from 10 species
GUAGUAUUGUGUGUUAGUCAUGUUUAGUCUUCCUAUCCAUGAAUACGGUAUGCCUUUCAACUUAUUUGUACCUUCUUUACUUUCUAGAAUCUAGGUUGACAGCUAAUAAGUUACAUUUAUCAUGACUGAUAAAAAUCUGAUUUUUUUUUUUUUUUUUUGCAAUGGAGUCUUACUCUGUCACCAUACUGGGGUGCAGUGAUGUGCUCUCCAC